rnacentral:sRNA from 1 species
UUCUUUCUCUGCAAGGGAAACCGAUGAUCCCACUCCUGGGAAAUAGUAGGGAAACUUGCGGAAGUGACCGUGGUGGCUUCAAUAAAUUUGGUGGCCCUCGGGACCAAGGAUCACGUCAUGACUCCGAACAGGAUAAUUCAGACAACAACACCAUCUUUGUGCAAGGCCUGGGUGAGAAUGUUACAAUUGAGUCUGUGGCUGAUUACUUCAAGCAGAUUGGUAUUAUUAAGACAAACAAGAAAACGGGACAGCCCAUGAUUAAUUUGUACACAGACAGGGAAACUGGCAAGCUGAAGGGAGAGGCAACGGUCUCUUUUGAUGACCCACCUUCUGCUAAAGCAGCUAUUGACUGGUUUGAUGGUAAAGAAUUCUCCGGAAAUCCUAUCAAGGUCUCAUUUGCUACUCGCCGGGCAGACUUUAAUCGGGGUGGUGGCAAUGGUCGUGGAGGCCGAGGGCGAGGAGGACCCAUGGGCCGUGGAGGCUAUGGAGGUGGUGGCAGUGGUGCUGGUGGCCGGGGAGGAUUUCCCAGUGGAGGUGGUGGCGGUGGAGGACAGCAGCGAGCUGGUGACUGGAAGUGUCCUAAUCCCACCUGUGAGAAUAUGAACUUCUCUUGGAGGAAUGAAUGCAACCAGUGUAAGGCCCCUAAACCAGAUGGCCCAGGAGGAGGACCAGGUGGCUCUCACAUGGGGGGUAACUACGGGGAUGAUCGUCGUGGUGGCAGAGGAGGCUAUGAUCGAGGCGGCUACCGGGGCCGCGGCGGGGACCGUGGAGGCUUCCGAGGGGGCCGGGGUGGUGGGGACAGAGGUGGCUUUGGCCCUGGCAAGAUG